GUAGUCCACGCUGUAAACGAUGAGUGCUAGAUGUCGGGUCCAUUAGGAUUCGGUGCCGUAGCUAACGCGUUAAGCACUCCGCCUGGGGAGUACGGUCGCAAGAUUAAAACUCAAAGGAAUUGACGGGGACCCGCACAAGCGGUGGAGCAUGUGGUUUAAUUCGAGGCAACGCGAAGAACCUUACCAGCUCUUGACAUGUCCAGUAUGGUCGGCAGAGAUGCCUUCCUUCACCUCGGGUGGCUGGAACACAGAUGCUGCAUGGCUGUCGUCAGCUCGUGUCGUGAGAUGUUGGGUUAAGUCCCGCAACGAGCGCAACCCUCGCCCUUAGUUGCCAUCAUUUAGUUGGGAACUCUAAGGGAACCGCCGGUGUCAAGCCGGA
rnacentral:rRNA from 1 species